UCAGAACACAGAUUAUGUUGUUUUUUUCGGUCACGUUUCUUGAAACCGUUUCUCAACAAACAAAAGGCUGCCUCGAACCGCUCCUUUUUUUUCUCUCUCUCUCUCUCUCUCCUGCUUUUUAUUGUAUAGGCUGCACGUAUAUGCAUUACAUAACAGCUUCUUAUGGAUGAACAACACCUCUAAAGCAGGGCCUGCAUCUAAAGCAACUUUAUCUCCUGUUACAAAGCGGCUGAAGAGGAUUAAUGCUGCCGUUGCCUCAGGAACUUAGUGACCAGUGGAGAGAGAGAGAGAGAGAGAGUGAGUAGUCAGGGGUGAGGAGUCCAUGGAGAGGGUAUAAACAGACAAAUCCAAUCAGACGACUCUUCGCCCACACAGCAGACACACAUUUUUUUUUUUUGAGGUGACACACAUCCUUUGGAGCAGUUCACACAGCCUGCCAACAUGAUGCACCCUUUGAUCAUCGGCAUUAUGACCGUCAACACGUCUCUGACAGUCGUCUACUGGACCUUCAUCCUGGGUGAUGCCUACUACAAGUGGAUGAUGGAGCCGGAGGAUAAACCCAAGAAGAUAGUCACGCCGGCCUGAGGGGAGGCACAGUCGAUAUGGACUAAUUUUUGCUUAGAACUAGUCCGCAAGAGCAGCCCCGCUUAUAGUGCUUUUCUGUGGAGAUUGUAUGAGUGAGCUGCUUUUCUGUUUCACCUGGAGAAAACUUGGAAACCUCCCCCCUUUUUGUUAACCUCUAAAUCUUACUGAGCUGAGUGGAUCCUGCAAGUGAAUGAGAAAGGAGUCAUUCAUACUGCAACAGAGCCGUCUGUGUGUAAUGACACAACAAUUUGGAAAUCCUUUCAUUCACAAGUCACAGAAAAGACUCGAGGAGCUGCUUCGAGUCUUGAUCACAAGACUGGAUUCUUGGCCCCAAACAGAAGGAGGAUGAUUUAGAGGAGGGGAGAGCAGAAGUAGAAGAGGAGCGACGACUGAGCGUUACCAGUGAGCUGACGACGGAGAAAGACCGGCUGAAGAUGGAGAACGAAAAGGACGGGCUGCUGCCGGGUUCUCGCCGUCCGUCCUCUCCGCCUCCUCUGAGAAGCUCCAUCGCUUCGUCCGUCCUCAGGGACAAACGGAUGUCUGCUCAUAGCGUGACCUUCGCCUGCCCCAUGACCCCUUACGUCACUUCCCUUUGAGUUCUGUAAUGUCAGUGAUCGGUGUUGUUCUGUUUGCCGUAGAGAUUCAAAGCAUUUCUGUUUUAUAUUUUGAAAAAAAAUCACAUAUAGUUUGUAUUCGUUUUGCUGGUGACAAAUGCUUCCUUUGAUUACUUAUUAAAAAUGUGUGUGAAACAGGUCCGUAUUGUCAGUCAUUGGAAAUACCUUGCGCUGUUUACCAUUGUUUUUGUGCCCCCGGAUGAUUUUCUCACGCUAAGCAAUGUAAACUCUGUACCUCGGUUAGACGUUGACGUGAGCUGUGAAGAUAGAAAUUUCAUCCUAGCGUCUGACAUUUAAGCACCCCAACAACAAAAAUGUCAAACACACCAAAGAAGAGAAGAAGAAAAAAAACGUCGAGAGAGUUCUGUAAGAUUGUACGUGAACUGCUGUUUUGUCACACGUGUUGCUGAAUGAUCCGUUUUUCUUGUUCUGGUUGUUGGACUUAAGCUUCUCUCCAGUAAACAACUGAAUGAUA